GAAGAUGGCGGCGGUCUCAAUGUCAGUGUCGCUGAGACAGGCGAUGUUGGGGCGAAGGGCAGUGGCUACAGCUGCCGUUUCCGUCUGUAGAGUUCCAUCCAGGUUGUUGAGCACAUCCAAUUGGAAGCUGGCAGACAACCAGACUCGGGACACACAGCUUAUAACAGUUGACGAGAAACUGGAUAUCACUACUUUAACUGUUGUUCCAGAAGAGCACAUCAAAACCAGAAAGGUCAGGAUCUUUGUUCCUGCUCGCAAUAACAUGCAGUUUGGAGUAAACAACACAAAGAAAUGGAAGAUGGAGUUUGAUACCAGAGAGAGAUGGGAAAAUCCUUUGAUGGGUUGGGCAUCAACCGCUGAUCCCCUCUCCAACAUGGUUCUAACCUUCAGUGCCAAAGAAGAUGCAAUUGCCUUUGCAGAAAAAAACGGAUGGAGCUAUGAUGUGGAAGAGAAGAAGGUUCCGAAACCCAAGUCCAAGUCUUAUGGUGCCAACUUUUCUUGGAACAAAAGAACAAGAGUGUCUACAAAAUAGGUUGGAGCUGGCUACAUCUCUGCUUGACUGUGACUGAAGUGUCAGCUGGGCACUAUUUAUAGUCCAUGGAUAAUGCACCUCUUAAUCUCCUAAUAAAUGUGACCUUUAAACUACAAAAAAAAAAAAAAAAAAAAA